rnacentral:rRNA from 1 species
UUAGUGGCGGACGGGUGAGUAACGCGUGGAUAACCUGCCGUAUACCGGGGGAUAACACUUAGAAAUAGGUGCUAAUACCGCAUAAGCGCACGGCUCCGCAUGGGGCAGUGUGAAAAACUCCGGUGGUAUACGAUGGAUCCGCGUCUGAUUAGCUAGUUGGCGGGGUAACGGCCACCAAGGCAGCGAUCAGUAGCCGGCCGUGAGAGGGUGAACGGCCCACAUUGGGACUGAGACACGGCCCAAACUCCUACGGAAGGCAGCAG